rnacentral:ncRNA from 1 species
GCUUGCAUGAGCCGGUGCCCGGUCCUCUGUUUCGCCCCUUUGAGGCUAUGUGCCGGGAGCAUUCUUGCUCCUUCUCAAACGAGGUCGAAUCAGGGGAUGGUGGCUGAGAUCAUACGGCCCUGAACUUGAUCUGGAUCAUACCAGCGAAAGGAUCAUGCUUGAUCCCCCA